rnacentral:tRNA from 1 species
GGCCUAGUGUCCGAGAAGUUAGGAAGCGGUCUGCAAAACCGCGUACCCCGGUGCAAUUCCGGGCUAGGCCU